rnacentral:rRNA from 1 species
CGUGUAGGCGGAUAUAUAAGUCAGAAGUGAAAUCCUAUAGCUUAACUAUAGAACUGCUUUGAAAACUGUUAAUCUAGAAUGUGGGAGAGGUAGAUGGAAUUUCUGGUGUAGGGGUAAAAUCCGUAGAGAUCAGAAGGAAUACCGAUUGCGAAGGCGAUCUACUGGAACAUUAUUGACGCUGAGAUGCGAAAGCGUGGGGAGCAAACA